CACGUUGUAGCGGUGAAAUGCGUAGAGAUGUGGAGGAACACCAGUGGCGAAGGCGACUCUCUGGUCUGUAACUGACGCUGAGGAGCGAAAGCGUGGGGAGCGAACAGGAUUAGAUACCCUGGUAGUCCACGCCGUAAACGAUGAGUGCUAAGUGUUAGGGGGUUUCCGCCCCUUAGUGCUGCAGCUAACGCAUUAAGCACUCCGCCUGGGGAGUACGGUCGCAAGACUGAAACUCAAAGGAAUUGACGGGGGCCCGCACAAGCGGUGGAGCAUGUGGUUUAAUUCGAAGCAACGCGAAGAACCUUACCAGGUCUUGACAUCCUCUGACAAUCCUAGAGAUAGGACGUCCCCUUCGGGGGCAGAGUGACAGGUGGUGCAUGGUUGUCGUCAGCUCGUGUCGUGAGAUGUUGGGUUAAGUCCCGCAACGAGCGCAACCCUUGAUCUUAGUUGCCAGCAUUCAGUUGGGCACUCUAAGGUGACUGCCGGUGACAAACCGGAGGAAGGUGGGGAUGACGUCAAAUCAUCAUGCCCCUUA
rnacentral:rRNA from 1 species